rnacentral:rRNA from 1 species
GUGAAAAGUACCCCGGGAGGGGAGUGAAAUAGAACCUGAAACCGUGUGCCUACAACAAGUUCGAGCCCGUUAAUGGGUGAGAGCGUGCCUUUUGUAGAAUGAACCGGCGAGUUACGAUAUGAUGCGAGGUUAAGUUGAAGAGACGGAGCCGUAGGGAAACCGAGUCUUAAUAGGGCGCAUUAGUAUCAUGUCGUAGACCCGAAACCAUGUGACCUACCCAUGAGCAGGUUGAAGGUGAGGUAAAACUCACUGGAGGACCGAACCAGGGCACGUUAAAAAGUGCUUGGAUGACUUGUGGGUAGCGGAGAAAUUCCAAACGAACUUGGAGAUAGCUGGUUCUCUCCGAAAUAGCUUUAGGGCUAGCGUCGAUGUUAAGUCUCUUGGAGGUAGAGCACUGUUUGGGUGAGGGGUCCAUCCCGGAUUACCAAUCUCAGAUAAACUCCGAAUGCCAAUGAGAUAUAAUCGGCAGUCAGACUGCGAGUGCUAAGAUCCGUAGUCGAAAGGGAAACAGCCCAGACCACCAGCUAAGGUCCCAAAAUAUAUGUUAAGUGGAAAAGGAUGUG